AAGACCCUGUCGUGAACGUGAUGGGCAAAAGCAUUUGACCCAGUAAUUUUUUAAAAGGGAAUCCUUCCAUGAGGUGGUGAGUCAUUUCCAAUCGGAUUUGAACCUAAAGCCCCAUUUUGGAUGCCCACCUGGCCAAGGCUGGGUUCAUAGCUUAACUCACACGGCACAAUGAUGGGGUCGAC
rnacentral:other from 1 species